AUGGCUGUCGUCAGCUCGUGUCGUGAGAUGUUGGGUUAAGUCCCGCAACGAGCGCAACCCUCGUUCUAUGUUGCCAGCGGGUUAUGCCGGGGACUCAUAGGAGACUGCCGGGGUCAACUCGGAGGAAGGUGGGGAUGACGUCAAAUCAUCAUGCCCCUUAUGUCUUGGGCUUCACGCAUGCUACAAUGGCCAGUACAAAGGGCUGCGAUGCCGUAAGGUGGAGCGAAUCCCAAAAAACUGGUCUCAGUUCGGAUUGGGGUCUGCAACUCGACCCCAUGAAGUCGGAGUCGCUAGUAAUCGCAGAUCAGCAACGCUGCGGUGAAUACGUUCCCGGGCCUUGUACACACCGCCCGUCAAGUCACGAAAGUCGGUAACACCCGAAGCCGGUGGCCCAACUCGUAAGAGGGGGAGCCGUCGAAGGUGGGGUCGGUGAUUGGGGUGAAGUCGUAACAAGGUAGCCGUACCGGAAGGUGCGGCUGGAUCACCUCCUUUCUAAGGAGCUAAAGGCCAGGCAUUAGCCUGGUCCAUUCUCUGAAGUUGACCACUAGCUAUUCGGUGACCAUUAGGUCCCGGUUUGUCGUAGGCGUUUACGUCUCCGGGCCGGGUUUGGUGGGAAUCGAGCAGACCUCUGUUCCGUUUUCUGGGCACACAGUCGUGGGUCCAGCUAAUGGCGCGUGCAUGUCCGGCUUGUCCGGACCAAUCCGUCUGCCUGAACCGGGAAAGAGCCCAAACGCUUAGGCGUGGCUCACCCGGUGCCCCUUGAGAAUUGCAUAGCGAGCACGAGCAUCUUGUUCUCCAAGCUACAAAAGCCAACGGUGGAUGCCUUGGCGCCUGAAGCCGAUGAAGGACGUGGGUGGCUGCGAUAAGCCACGGGGAGCUGCCUACCGAGCUUUGAUCCGUGGAUGUCCGAAUGGGGAAACCCGG
rnacentral:sRNA from 1 species